AUUGAACGCUGGCGGCAUGCCUUACACAUGCAAGUCGAACGGCAGCACGGGAGCAAUCCUGGUGGCGAGUGGCGAACGGGUGAGUAAUAUAUCGGAACGUGCCCAGUCGUGGGGGAUAACGCAGCGAAAGCUGUGCUAAUACCGCAUACGAUCUACGGAUGAAAGCGGGGGACCGCAAGACCUCGCGCGAUUGGACCGGCCGAUAUCAGAUUAGCUAGUUGGUGAGGUAAAGGCUCACCAAGGCGACGAUCUGUAGCUGGUCUGAGAGGACGACCAGCCACACUGGAACUGAGACACGGUCCAGACUCCUACGGGAGGCAGCAGUGGGGAAUUUUGGACAAUGGGCGCAAGCCUGAUCCAGCAAUGCCGCGUGCAGGAUGAAGGCCUUCGGGUUGUAAACUGCUUUUGUACGGAACGAAACGGCGAGCUCUAAUACAGUUUGCUAAUGACGGUACCGUAAGAAUAAGCACCGGCUAACUACGUGCCAGCAGCCGCAGUAAAAC
rnacentral:rRNA from 1 species